rnacentral:lncRNA from 10 species
AGGUUUCUGUGGCCAUAGGUCAAGCUGGAAAACAUUUUUCCAUAAAACCAUGUGCAAUUUCAUGCCACAGGUGAAAGAAUAGCCCAAAUCCACAAGAGGGAAUUUGGAUGUACAAACAGAACCAAGGAUGUGCAGAACCAGAAGAAAGAUCAUGUGAGAACACCGCCCUAAGUAUCUGCAAGCCAUGGAGAGAGACCUCAAAAGAAACUGAACUCUGACAACACCUCUAUCUCGCUCUUCUAGCCUUUAGAACUAUGAGAACAUAAAUCUCGGUUUUUUGUAAAUGCAUCGGUCAUUCUCCUUUGAUGAAAACCAGUUCAUGGACAAAUCAAAUGUAUGCUUCUCUCAUCUUAUGCAAUUCUAUGAAGAGUCACACAAAAAUGGAAUCCAGUUCUAGGA